ACCAGGAAAGGGAAAGCGCCUGAAUUGGAGGCGCGCAGGCGCAACUCUUUCGCGGGUAGGGGGGAGUGAGACUAAGGCGGAGGCGAGCAAAUGGGUGAGGAAGAGCGGUGAGGAAGGGCGGUAUGGUAGCAAAAUUAUGGAGCGCCAUUAAGGACAAGUUUGGUCACGUGAUUCUCAUAGGCGUUUCCUGGUUUGAAAGGUGUUUUAAAAAAAUCCUAUGAAGAUGGGAAUCGAAAGGAGGACAGGGCUGAAGAUUGGAGCCCAGUGGUAGAGUACUUGCCUAGACCAAAAAAGGCCCUGGAUUCAUCUCCAUCACAGAAAAGAAAAAAUAAAAAGAGACACCCCAAAAAGUCCUAGUUAUCCAAUGAAGAACAAAUGGACAGUUGGAACACAAGGGUGACCUGUGUCCAAGAGAUAAAAAUUUGAGCAUCAACAGUUGUGUUAUAUUUAUCAACAUAAAUAGUAUAGUACAAGGGCCCCUCUGCUUAUGUUGGAGUUGCAUCAUCAUAAACCUGUUGUAAAUGGAACAUCAUAAAUCAAAAGUAUAUUUAAUAGUCCCUAACCUAAUGAACAUCCUAGCUCAGCCAGACAGUACACUAAGGAGUGUCCAAUCUGAGCCCUUGGGUUUGUUGCGUUGUUUUGUCUUAAUAUUAAAAGGAUACUGAGGCAUGAUAGUACAUGUCUGUAAUCCCAGCCCUCAGAAGUCUGAAUCAGGAUUGAGACCAGCCCAGACUACAUAGAGAAACUCUGCCUCAAAAAAAAGUUUGUUACUUGUAUGUAUUAAAGUAUAUUGUAUAUUUUAUUAUAUAUGGUUCAAGAUAAUUCUUCACUCUGCAUCCCAAGCAAGCCAAGAGGUUGGACACCUAUUACUUUACAGGCAAUGGGCCAGGCAUCAAAAGAUUAUCAUAUCACAUUUUGCUAAGCUGGAAAAAAGAUGAAAAUUUGAAGUACAGAUUCUACUGACUAUCAUUUUCACACCAUAUAAAGGAAAAGAGUCACAUACUGAACCAUAAUAAGUUGGGGACCAUCAGGGCUCGCUUCAGCAGCACAUAUACUAAGUUGGGGACCAUCGUAUUUACCACCAUAAAAAGGAUAAAAUCACUGAAGAAAAUGUCAAGAGAAACUCCAGGACUAAGCCCAGAGAAACUUCAAAAUAUAUGGAGGUUAAGUCUCUAAACAGGAGAUUGAGGAAAGGGAAAACGUGAUAUCACUAAACCCAAGGAAAGAGUUGCUUCAAGAAAAGUAGGUCACUGUCUUCAGUGUAACAGAGCAAAAAGUCAGAAGGCAAGAAGUGCUUCUAUGGAUUGACAUCGUAGAAGACCAAUACUGACCAUGUAGAAUGCAGAUCAGUGGAAUAGAGCCAGAUUAGCUCAUUGGUGAUGGCAAAAGACAAAUAGUUGUGAAAUUUUAUAGAGAACAGCAAAGAAAUAUAACUGAAAGUAUGAUGUGAGAAUUUUUUCUAUCCUUUUUGUCCAUUUAAAUGAGAAGUACAAAAAAUGUAUUCUAAUGGUAGUGAUUCAAUAAAGGGGGAAAUACUGAUAAUGAUGAAGAAACCUAUAGAUCAUUGUAGGAGCAAAAUCUUAGUGGCAAGAAAUUAUGCAACUUCAAGAGGAAAAGUCCCUUAGGUAGAAGCAGGAACAUUUCUGCCUUACUGUAUAUUGAGAGAAGACAAAGAUAAUGGGCACAUGUCCAAAUUGGUUUGCAAAUAAAGAGUCUAUGAAGGAC